rnacentral:rRNA from 1 species
UACGAGGGGGGCAAGCGUUGUCCGGAUUUAUUGGGCGUAAAGAGCGUGUAGGCGGUUUGGUAGGUCCGCUGUGAAAACUCGAGGCUCAACCUCGAGACGCCGGUGGAAACCAUCAGACUAGAGUCCGGAAGAGGAGAGUGGAAGUUCCCGGUGUGAGCGGUGAAAUGCGCAGAUAUCGGGAGGAACACCAAUGGCGAAGGCAGCUCGCUGGGACGGUACUGACGCUGAGACGCGAAAGCGUGGGAGCAA